GCGCCAAACCGUUUACCAAAAUCGGCGGGAAACGCAAUUUCGUCCUGUCAGUGACAGUUUUAUUCAGAAAGAGUUGUUGUGCUGUGUAAAGGAUAAAAGAAAAUUAGGCAAGAUGAAUCGGCGUAGUUUACGCCAAAGGCCGAGAAUUAGUUACUAUGAACCCGAAGAGCCGAGUUUGGACGAAUACAUUUAUUGCGAUGGGUGCACCGACUUUGUGUACGAAUACUGUGCGAUUCACGGGCCUUUACUGGUCAUUCCUGAUGAUAAGGCGCUGGUCUGGGUAUAUUCAGUACUUUGACUCUACCACGCGGCGUUCGCUUCGGUCCGUACUGCGGAGUUCGCACGCAAAAUGUCGACUCCAUGUAUUGUUGGCAGAUAUACGAUAGAAACGGCAAAAGAUCUCACGUAGUGGACGCGGAGGAUGGUAAUCGGUCCAACUGGAUGCGUUACGUCAACUGCGCGCGGAACUGGCGGGAACAAAACCUCUUGGCUUACCAAUAUCAAGGGCAGCUUUAUUAUAGAACUAUCAAAAUAAUCCCUCGCUUCACGGAGCUACUAGUGUUCUACGGCAGCGAGUUCGCGAACACGCUGCAUAUCAACCUGAGCAAGUAUAACGCGCCUCCGGGAUAUGCUCAGAAA